rnacentral:rRNA from 1 species
AUGCGUGACAAAUUUCCUAGGAGGUACCGCAUAUAUGUGGGAAGCAACAGGCUGGCCUUUUGCUUCUCCAUGGUAAUCAUUGGAAUACUCGCCAAUAACAUAGCUAACAAGCUGAGCAAACUCGUGAGGUUUUUUUUUCCAUUAUUGGUACCUUGUUGUCUUCUGAGCUUGACGACUAGCUUCAUCAGCGGCACGUGGGACUACUCUAAAGAUGAUACCUACUCAUGUGUUACGUUUGUAGCCGCUUUUCUCAGUUUGGCCAUUCUUUGGGGUUCGGGUUUGAUCGAGCCGAUAAUUGAAAGACACGAGCGAUCCACGGAAUCUUCCGCUUAA